rnacentral:sRNA from 1 species
AGGUUUGCAAGUGUUUCAUUGGAAUUGGAUACUACUUUGUAUCAUCCUACUAUAUUAUUUGGGAAGUACAUUUUAAAUGUAACCUUAAUUUUUGUAAUUAAUUACAUGACAAUGCUAUUAGAAAAAUUUAAUCAAAAACAAAAUCUUUUAAUGACAUCAUUAAGAUUACCAAAAUCAUUUAACGACAAUAUUCAUCUCUUAAUUAUAGGGCUUAUUGGAUUUAAAGACAGGUCAUCAAAGAUUUCCUAAACUGAAGCAAAAUAUACUGAAUAUUCAAAUAUCUAUCUGUUACCAAAUUAUAAACAAAUAAGUUUGUAAAACAAUUUAAUAUUUUAUAUACAAAAUCAAUUAAAUCUUAAUCACAUAAAAAUUAGCACAAAAAAAAUAUGGUACAUUCGGGUCUAUAGUAGUUUUGCAAGACUUUUUUGGUGGAUUUGGGUAAAAGUGCAUUCGGGUCAUAUGGUACAUUCCCCUAUUAAAUAAAUAUGGUGCACUCCUAUGUUAUUAGCUAAAAUGUUUAGAUUAUAAUUCAGAGUCAUAUCAUAAAUAAAAUUAAUAUUAAUAAAAUAAAUGGCUUUUUGGCAAGACGAAUUUGGAGGGACGGGUUUUUGAAUCAACAUUAAUAAAAAGUAAAAUAUAAUUAAUCCACUGUUUCAAUACGGGUUAAAUCUUUAAUUUAUUAUU